ACCCCAGUAGUCCACGCCGUAAACGAUGCAUACUUGGUAUUAGGAGAAUCGACCCUCCUAGUGUCGUAGCUAACGCGUUAAGUAUGCCGCCUGGGAAGUACGAGCGCAAGCUUAAAACUCAAAGGAAUAGACGGGGAUCCGCACAAGUGGUGGAGCAUGUGGUUUAAUUCGACGACAAGCGAGGAACCUCACCAGGGCUUGAAACCUAGCUGCAUUGUAUAGAAAUAUACAAGCCUUCGAGGGUGCUAGGCAGGCGUUGCACGGUCGUCGUCAGCUCGUGUCGUAAGAUGUUCUGUUAAGUCAGGAAACGAGCGCAACCCCUAUCGUGUGUUAUUAUGUCACACGAGACUGCCCAGAACUUUGCGCGAUAGCGCAAAGUAAUGACCAAUAAUCAAGGCACAAUAACCAAAAUUUGGGAUUUGUAUCUUGGAAUUUGGAAUUUACUUUGUUCGCUAGCGAACAAAGUUCUGGGAGGAAGGCGGGGAUGACGUCAGAUCAGCGUGGCCCUUUGACGCCCUGGGCUACACACGUGCUACAAUGGCCAUUACAAAGGGUUGCUAAGCCGUAAGGCGGAGCUAAUCCCAUAAAGAUGGUCUCAGUUCGGAUUGAGGUCUGCAACUCGACCUCAUGAAGCCGGAAUCACUAGUAAUCGUGAAUCAGCCAUAUCACGGUGAAUACGUUCUCGGAUCUUGUACUCACAAUAAAAGCGCUAGGCAGUUUAAUAAUCUAGAGAGUUUAAAUCUCUCCCUCCGAAACCCAAUCGGAGCGUAGCUAACAGGUAGUCGUCAUUCGCGAGAAUGACGGUGAAGGAUCUGAAGGCAAAUUACAGUCCAGUUUAUCCCGAUAUAUCGGGAAAGUCGCAUCGACCUUUGAACAGGUGGUGAGCAUAGGGAAGAUGCCCGUCUGCCGACGAGGCAGGCAUGCAAAAGACUUACUGGAAUGUAAAGAAAAGAAUAUUAAAUAACCCUAGGAGAUCUUGCGCUGUUUCAAUUUUAUGUUAUAAUAAAAUUGUAAUAACGAAACUUACGCAGCGUAAGAAGUCAGCUGAAUCAUAGUAUUCUGUCCCGCUAAGCGGGACGGGAGAAGGAUUCACUCAAUAGCAUAUGGAAAAAAUAAAUCCAAAUUAUAUUGUUGGCUUAGUCGAUGGAGAAGGAAGCUUUACAGUUUAUGUAAAAAAUCCUGAUUCUAAGAAGGAAGUUAAAAGACGAACAAAAGUCGAACCAAGAUUUUAUUUGAAACUUAUAGCGAAAGAUAAAAAAAUUCUGUAUAAGCUUAAAAAAUAUUUUGGUUGUGGCAAUGUUUACUUUCAACCAGAUAAGCGAAAAAAUCAUCAAGAUUGUUAUCGUUUUGAAGUAGCCAAUAGAAAUGAUUUGGAAAAAAUUAUUAUUCCAUUUUUUAAAAGGAAUUCUUUGAGAUUACGCUCGAAGAAAGGUGACUUUGAAAUUUUUUGCAGAAUUAUUAAACUGGUUAUGAAAAAUUAUCAUUUUAAAGAAUCUGGGCUUAGAAAAAUUUAUGCCCUUAAGCAAAAAAUGCAUUAGAGCUCGUCGUGUGCGGGAAAUCCGCAGGCACGAUGGGAACAUCAAUGUCUAGUUUUAGAUAGAUAAUCGCCCGUCACACCAAGAGAGUCGGUAACACCGGAAGACUCCGAAUUAAAUCGGGGGCCAGGGUGGGAUCGAUGAUAAGGGUGAAGUCGUUUGAUUACCCUAAUCGUUGCGACCUUGAGGAGUAAUCCUCAUGAAAAAACUAACUAUAACGGUGAAGCCUAAAAGUUAAGUAUGUUAUAAUUAAAGCAUAAUUAAUUUAUGGUAAUACCGUGGGAAGUCGAGGUAUAAAAAAUUGGAAUUCGAAAAUUGUUAGGAAUAUUAGAGAUAGUUUGGAACUCACAGAAAUUCAAAAAGGAUUUUUGAUUGGAAAAAUUCUAGGCGAUGGUUCUCUAAUUUCGACCUUAACAGGAAAAAGUUUUCGUUUGCAGGUGGAACAGAAAGCUGAACAUAAAGACUAUGUUUUCUGGGCUGCUGAAAUAUUUAAAGGCUGGGUUUUGACCCAACCGAAAUAUUUAGCGCAACAUCAGUCAUUUAGAUUCAGGACAAUUUCUCACCCGCAAAUGACAGAAUUUCGAAAGACAUUCUAUCCGGUUAAGAGAAAAAUAAUUCCACUAAAUAUUAAAAAAAUUUUCGUACAUCCAAUAAGUUUGGCUGUGUGGUUUAUGGAUGACGGCAGUCUUAGUACUUCUAAGAAAACCGUUACUAUAAGUACACAUAGUUUUUCAAGGGAAGAAAAUUUGUUGCUCAUAGAUUGCUUGAAAAAUAAUUUUAAUUUUCAAGCGAAUCUUAAUUGGGACAGUAAAGGUAAUAGACUUUACAUUCCAGUUGGUAAUAUUAAAAAAUUUAAGGAAAUAGUUUUUCCUUAUAUGCAUCCCGAUAUGAUUUACAAACUGCCUUUGACCCCGUAGAGACUACACGUUAGCUCCCGAUUUAAUCGGGAUGAAGAUAUAGUCCAUGCCCGUGGAAACGCGGAGAAUAGAAACAUGAACAAGGCAUCGGUAGGGGAACCUGUCGAUGGAUCACCUCCUU
rnacentral:rRNA from 1 species